rnacentral:rRNA from 1 species
GAUGAACGCUAGCUACAGGCUUAACACAUGCAAGUCGAGGGGCAGCAUUUCAGUUUGCUUGCAAACUGGAGAUGGCGACCGGCGCACGGGUGAGUAACACGUAUCCAACCUGCCGAUGACUCGGGGAUAGCCUUUCGAAAGAAAGAUUAAUACCCGAUGGUAUAAUCAGACCGCAUGGUCUUGUUAUUAAAGAAUUUCGGUUAUCGAUGGGGAUGCGUUCCAUUAGGCAGUUGGUGAGGUAACGGCUCACCAAACCUUCGAUGGAUAGGGGUUCUGAGAGGAAGGUCCCCCACAUUGGAACUGAGACACGGUCCAAACUCCUACGGGAGGCAGCAGUGAGGAAUAUUGGUCAAUGGGCGCAGGCCUGAACCAGCCAAGUAGCGUGAAGGAUGACUGCCCUAUGGGUUGUAAACUUCUUUUAUAUGGGAAUAAAGUUUUCCACGUGUGGAAUUUUGUAUGUACCAUAUGAAUAAGGAUCGGCUAACUCCGUGCCAGCAGCCGCGGUAAUACGGAGGAUCCGAGCGUUAUCCGGAUUUAUUGGGUUUAAAGGGAGCGUAGGUGGACAGUUAAGUCAGUUGUGAAAGUUUGCGGCUCAACCGUAAAAUUGCAGUUGAUACUGGCUGUCUUGAGUACAGUAGAGGUGGGCGGAAUUCGUGGUGUAGCGGUGAAAUGCUUAGAUAUCACGAAGAACUCCGAUUGCGAAGGCAGCUCACUGGACUGCAACUGACACUGAUGCUCGAAAGUGUGGGUAUCAAACCAGG